rnacentral:lncRNA from 1 species
CAGCUGGCAGCACCCUAGGCAAAUGGGGGGACCCCUUCCCGACACAUGAGACGAGCUGGUGGAGGUUUUCCCAAGUCCACCACCUUUAUAAACCCCACACCAUCACCUCUCUGUACCCAGACGGUUGCCUCAUUUCUCUCACUAAAUCCGGCCACCCAGUCCAUUAAUUCCAAGCCCAUUAAACCCACUCCCCAUUACUCUUCCCCAUCCAUUCAUCACACCCACUUAUAGAAGCUAAUCUUACCAUCCAUUUUCAUACCCGGCUGCCCACCAUACCCAUGCCAUGCUCAUCUCCAUAGGAAUCCCAAAGCCACCCACCUACAUGCAUGGGAAUCAUGCAUGCAUGGCUACCCCCCAUGGUUGCCAUUCAUCAACACAUACCCAUCCUUUCAAACCUCUAUACUUACCCAUGCACAUCACCACCCUCGUACCCAUGCAAACUCUCCACGUUUGUAUACCCUAGCCCUCAUGUCCAUGCAAACCUUCCAUGCUCACAUACCCUAUCCAACAUGCAUGGCCACCCCCCAUGGACACUUUCACUCACCACCUAUUCCUCACCCGUCCAUCUCUCACCUUCAAUACCCAACUCCCUCAUUUUCUUCCUCAUCACCUUUUCUCUCUCUACACCACAACACAAUCCCCUCACCACAUUUUCUCUCUCUACACCACACCACAUGCCCCUCACCACCUUUUCUCUCUCUACACCACACCACAAUCCCCUCACCACCUUUUCUCUCUCUACACCACGCCAUGCAUCCAUUCCACUCUCCAUGCUCUCUCAUGCAUGCCAUCACCCUUCUAUGCCCACCUUACCCAUCCUUUCUUGCCACCUUUCUCUCUCUACACCACGCUCUUCAUGCCCACUUCCUAUCCACAUGCAUGAAGCCAUGCAUGGAACCAUGCAUGCCACCACCCUUCUAUGCCCACCUUACCCAUCCUUUCUUACCACCUUUCUCUCUCUACACCACGUUCUUCAUGCCCACUUCCUAUCCACAUCCAUGAAGCCAUGCAUGGAACCAUGCAUGCCACCACCCUUCUAUGCCCACCUUACCCAUCCUUUCUUACCUCCCUUCUCUCUCUACACCACCCCACUUCCUUAUCCUUUAUCCUUGAGGGAAAGGUUUGGUGAGUUUGCUCAUUUUAAUCUCUACAGUGGACGUUUUUUUAUGUUUGUGGGUCUUGCAUAUUGGCUUUGAGCCCUUGGGCCUUGGUGCAAUUGGGCAUGGUUUGAGUUGAUUACUUUAAAGCAGGUUGUGUGUUGUGAGUCCUUUGGGCCC